GUAGGGAAUAUUGCGCAAUGGACGAAAGUCUGACGCAGCGACGCCGCGUGAGUGAUGAAGGCCUUAGGGUCGUAAAGCUCUGUUGAAUGGGAAGAAAAAAAUGACGGUACCAUUUGAGGAAGGACCGGCUAACUUCGUGCCAGCAGCCGCGGUAAUACGAGGGGUCCUAGCGUUGUUCGGAAUCAUUGGGCGUAAAGGGUGUGUAGGUGGCCAUGUAAGUCAGGUGUGAAAGCACCGGGCUCAACCCGGGAAGUGCACUUGAUACUGCGUGGCUUGAUUACCGAAGAGGGUAGUGGAAGUCCAUGUGUAGUGGUGAAAUACGUAGAAAUCUGGAGGAACACCGGUGGCGAAGGCGGCUACCUGGUCGAGUACUGACACUGAGACACGAAAGCAUGGGGAUCAAACAGGAUUAGAUACCCCAGUAGUCC
rnacentral:rRNA from 1 species